GAUGAACGCUGGCGGCGUGCUUAACACAUGCAAGUCGAACGAUGAUGCCCAGCUUGCUGGGUGGAUUAGUGGCGAACGGGUGAGUAACACGUGAGUAACCUGCCCUUGACUCUGGGAUAAGCCUGGGAAACUGGGUCUAAUACCGGAUACGACCAUCUGGCGCAUGUCAUGGUGGUGGAAAGCUUUUGUGGUUUUGGAUGGACUCGCGGCCUAUCAGCUUGUUGGUGGGGUAAUGGCCUACCAAGGCGACGACGGGUAGCCGGCCUGAGAGGGUGACCGGCCACACUGGGACUGAGACACGGCCCAGACUCCUACGGGAGGCAGCAGUGGGGAAUAUUGCACAAUGGGCGCAAGCCUGAUGCAGCGACGCCGCGUGAGGGAGGACGGCCUUCGGGUUGUAAACCUCUUUCAGUAGGGAAGAAGCGAAAGUGACGGUACCUGCAGAAGAAGCGCCGGCUAACUACGU
rnacentral:rRNA from 1 species